GUAGGGGGCUAGCGUUGUCCGGAAUCAUUGGGCGUAAAGCGCGUGUAGGCGGUCCGGUAAGUCCGCUGUGAAAGUCGGGGGCUCAACCCUCGGAUGCCGGUGGAUACUGUCGGGCUUGAGUACGGAAGAGGCGAGUGGAAUUCCUGGUGUAGCGGUGAAAUGCGCAGAUAUCAGGAGGAACACCAAUUGCGAAGGCAGCUCGCUGGGACGUUACUGACGCUGAGACGCGAAAGCGUGGGGAGCAAACAGGAUUAGAUACCCUGGUAGUCCACGCUGUAAACGAUGGGCACUAGGUGUGGGGGGUGUCGACUCCCUCCGUGCCGAAGCUAACGCAUUAAGUGCCCCGCCUGGGGAGUACGGCCGCAAGGCUAAA
rnacentral:rRNA from 1 species